rnacentral:rRNA from 1 species
AACGAACGCUGGCGGCAGGCUUAACACAUGCAAGUCGAACGCCCCGCAAGGGGAGUGGCAGACGGGUGAGUAACGCGUGGGAACGUGCCCUUCGCUUCGGAAUAGCCCCGGGAAACUGGGAGUAAUACCGGAUACGCCGUAUUGGGAAAGAUUUAUCGGCGAAGGAUCGGCCCGCGUUGGAUUAGCUAGUUGGAGGUGUAAUGGACCCCCAAGGCUACGAUCCAUAGCUGGUCUGAGAGGAUGAUCAGCCACGCUGGGACUGAGACACGGCCCAGACUCCUACGGGAGGCAGCAGUGGGGAAUCUUGGACAAUGGGCGCAAGCCUGAUCCAGCCAUGCCGCGUGAGUGAAGAAGGCCUUAGGGUUGUAAAACUCUUUCGCCGGAGAAGAUAAUGACGGUAUCCGGAGAAGAAGCCCCGGCUAACUUCGUGCCAGCAGCCGCCGUAA